rfam:Vibrio sp. AND4 1103602000574, whole genome shotgun sequence.
CUUGCUUGGUGGCGCACUUGGUCAAGUUCUUGGUGGGCAAACGUGUAUUUCUAGUUUAGAGAACUAAAUGUCACAAAGCCCGCUUCUUCAGCGGGCUUUUUGUU